ensembl:lncRNA
UUCUGUUUCUUGUGUGGCUCACUUACUCAUCUGCACCUCUGCCUUCAGCGGACAAAGGUUCUUUCUCUGCGCAUUCUUUUCAACAUUUGUUGUAUUGUGUUGUUUCGAUAAACAGCCAUUCUCACUAGGAUGAGACACUAUGACAUCAUAACUGGGAUUUGCAUUUCCCUAACAGUUGAUGGCACGGAAUAUUUUUAAUAUGACGUAUUUACUGCCUGAGGCAUCUAUUCAGGCCAUCUUCCCAUGAUGUCAUUAAACUACUUGCUAUUCUGUUUUUACGUUUUUGAGUUGGUACGGUUUCUAGGUAUCACAUCUGUCAGGAGUCUGGCAGACACUGAAGGCGGUCUCUUACCUUCUGACAGAGUCCUUUGCUGGGCAGAAGCUUCUCAGUCUGUCCUAAUCCAUUUACACAAUGGAUUUAUAAACAGCAAGACAGCUUUACUCUCCAAGACUGGUGGUAAAACUAUUCCAUCAAAACAGAAUCAGAACUAACCGAAAAUGAACAUCUCUCACAGUAUCUACUGCUGAGGUUGGAAACUAUGAUCCUGGAGGGAAGAACAGAGUUCUAAGUCUAAAGGAGAAGCAGAUGAUAGAGGGGAGAGAAACACAGCUUGCACAAACCCAACACCCAUCCUAGGACGAGAGCAAGGACUCAAUUCCCACCGCUGCAAACCUCGACAUCUCCCCAACUAUACUCUACCACUAGAAGGGCCGAGCAAAGCCUGUAAGAUCCUUUCUGGAAUACAGAUGUGCACUCCAGUUCAAGAAAGCCUACAGCAGCUCCAUCAGAACUUUCUAGCACAUCGACGACACCCACUGAUGAGGCACUGAAGGCAACCAGACUCACAGAAUAACAAACCCUUAAACUCUCAUCAUCCUCCCCCAACCCCGUUCAAAAACAUGGCUGAAAGCCAAACAAACUUUUGAGACAAAUCUUUGUCAGAAGGAAGCACAAUCCAGACAAACUCAGAGAGAGUUAAAUGUUGGCACCAUCAGACAAGGGACAUAAAGUAAUUAUGAAUGAUAACAGGUAAUUGUGCUCACAAUCAGGUAAAAACAAUGAGGAAAAACUACGUGAAUCAAAUGUUAAACCAGGCAACAAGAAGGAAAACACCAACACUAAAGGCCUCAUGUACUAUUUGCUUACCUG